rnacentral:tRNA from 1 species
GGGGCUGUGGCUCAGAGGUAGAGUGCUUGCCUGCCAUGUGCAAGGCACUGGGUUCGAUCCCCAGUACCA